rnacentral:rRNA from 1 species
CAUGCCCAGUACGGCGAGUGAGCGGCAAAGCUCAAUUUGAAAUCCUGCGGGAAUUGUAAUUUGAAGGUUUCGUGGUCUGAGUCGGCCGCGCCCAAGUCCAUUGGAACAUGGCGCCUGGGAGGGUGAGAGCCCCGUAUGGCGCACGCCGACUCUUUGCACCGCGGCUCCCACAAGUCGAGUUGUUUGGGAAAGCGCCUCUCUGUGGGUGGGAUAUUCCAUCUCAAGCUCUAUAUUGUGGAGAGACCGAUAUCGAACAAGUACACUGAUGGAAAGAUGAGAAGCGCUUUGUGAAGAGAGUGAGACAGCACGCGAAAUUGUUGAAAGGGAAAGGCUUGCGAGCAC